rnacentral:lncRNA from 1 species
GGGAGGAGAGGGAUAGAUAUGGCUGUAGAUGGGUAGGGGAGGAGAGGGAUAGAUGUGAUGUCGUUAGACAGAAUAGAUUUGGCUGUAGAUGGGUAGGGGAGGAGAGGGAUUGAUAUGGCUGUAGAUGGGUAGGGGAGGAGAGGGAUAGAUAUGGCUGUAGAUGGGUAGGAGAGGGAUAGAUAUGGCUGUAGAUGGGUAGGGGAGGAGAGGGAAAGAUAUGGCUGUAGAUGGGUAGGAGAGGAGAGGGAUAGAUAUGGCUGUAGAUGGGUAGGGGAGGAGAGGGAUAGAUAUGGCUGUAGAUGGGUAGGAGAGGAGAGGGAUAGAUAUGGCUGUAGAUGGGUAGGGGAGGAGAGGGAUAGAUAUGGCUGUAGAUGGGUAGGAGAGGGAUAGAUAUGGCUGUAGAUGGGUAGGAGAGGAGAGGGAUAGAUAUGGCUGUAGAUGGGUAGGAGAGGAGAGGGAUAGAUAUGGCUGUAGAUGGGUAGGAGAGGGAUAGAUAUGGCUGUAGAUGGGGAGGAGAGGGAUAGAUAUGGCUGUAGAUGGGUAGGGGAGGACAGGGAUAGAUAUGGCUGUAGAUGGGUAGGAGAGGGAUAGAUAUGGCUGUAGAUGGGUAGGAGAGGGAUAGAUAUGGCUGUAGAUGGGUAGGAGAGGGAUAGAUAUGGCUGUAGAUGGGUAGGGUAGGAGAGGGAUAGAUAUGGCUGUAGAUGGGUAAGGGAGGAGAGGGAUAGAUGUGGCUGUAGAUGGGUAGGAGAGGGAUAGAUAUGGCUGUAGAUGGGUAGGAGAGGGAUAGAUAUGGCUGUAGAUGGGUAGGGUAGGAGAGGGAUAGAUAUGGCUGUAGAUGGGUAGGGGAGGAGAGGGAUAGAUAUGGCUGUAGAUGGGUAGCGGAGGAGAGGGAUAGAUAUGGCUGUAGAUGGGUAGGAGAGGGAUAGAUAUGGCUGUAGAUGGGUAGGAGAGGGAUAGAUAUGGCUGUAGAUGGGUAGGAGAGGAGAGGGAUAGAUGUGAUGUUACAGACAGAAUAGAUUUGGCUGUAGAUGGGUAGGGGCGGAGAGGGAUAGAUAUGGCUGUAGAUGGGUAGGAGAGGGAUAGAUAUGGCUGUAGAUGGGUAGGGGCGGAGAGGGAUAGAUAUGGCUGUAGAUGGGGAGGAGAGGGGAGCCCGUCUCUGUGUCAUUCUGGGAUGCGAAUGGAGGCUCUGCUAAUUGAAAGCUGUUAGAUUGUAAUCAGAGAACAUGUUGAGCUACACAGCCCUUCAUUACCUAACUAAUUAACACACCACAUAUUCACGUUACCUAACCACCUAUCCAGGACUCUACAUUAUACCGCCUGUUCAAGCCUGGG